GCUGUGAUGGCCGAGUGGUUAAGGCUUUGAAAUCCAAUCUCUUUGGGGUUUCCCGCGCAGGUUCGAACCCUGCUCUCAGCG